AGCCUUCUGUAUCCGUGAUGAGAUUUUGUCAGUGAUUAGCCCGUUGGGGCUGAUUCAAUUCCUCAGAUAAGUGAAGUU
rnacentral:pre_miRNA from 1 species